rfam:Ciona savignyi cont_30694, whole genome shotgun sequence.
CGGCCUGAGGUCGGACGAGGCUACCCGCUGAAUUUAAGCAUAUUACUAAGCGGAGGAAAAGAAACUAACGAGGAUUCCCUCAGUAACGGCGAGUGAAGCGGGACGAGCCCAGCGCCGAAUCCGGCCGCUUAUGGAGCGGACGGAAUU